AGCGGGGCACUUCGGUGCUUUAGCGGCGAACGGGUGAGUAACACGUAGGUAAUGUACCUUCUGGUGGGGAAUAACCGUGGGAAACCAUGGCUAAUACCGCAUAUCGCGCUUCGGCGUGAAAGCCUUCGGGCGCCAGUUGAGCAGCCUGCGUCCCAUUAUUUAGUCCUAGUUGGUGAGGUAAUGGCUCACCAAGGGUACGAUGGGUAGCUGGUCUGAGAAGAUGAUCAGCCACACUGGAACUGAGACACGGUCCAGACUCCUACGGGAGGCAGCAGUGGGGAAUAUUGCGCAAUGGGCGAAAGCCUGACGCAGCCACGCCGCGUGAGUGAUGAAGGCCUUCGGGUUGCAAAGCUCUGUCGGGAGGGACGAAGGGGAAACCCUGACGGUACCUCGCAAGAAAGCACCGGCUAACUCUGUGCCAGCAGCCGCGGUAAUACAGAGGGUGCAAGCGUUGCUCGGAUUUACUGGGCGUAAAGCGUACGCAGACGGUGAGAAAGGUCGGAUGUGAAAGCCCCGGGCUCAACCCGGGAACUGCAUCCGAAACCAUCUCGCUCGAGUGUGGGAGAGGGAAGCGGAAUUCCUGGUGUAGAGGUGAAAUUCGUAGAUAUCAGGAGGAACACCGGCGGCGAAGGCGGCUUCCUGGCCCAUUACUGACGUUCAGGUACGAAAGCGUGGGUAGCAAACAGGAUUAGAUACCCUGGUAGUCCACGCCGUAAACGA
rnacentral:rRNA from 1 species